rnacentral:rRNA from 1 species
GUGAGGAAUAUUGGUCAAUGGGCGGGAGCCUGAACCAGCCAAGUCGCGUGAAGGAAGAAGGAUCUAUGGUUCGUAAACUUCUUUUGCAGGGGAAUAAAGUGCGGGACGUGUCCUGUUUUGUAUGUACCCUGAGAAUAAGGAUCGGCUAACUCCGUGCCAGCAGCCGCGGUAAUACGGAGGAUCCGAGCGUUAUCCGGAUUUAUUGGGUUUAAAGGGUGCGUAGGUGGUUUGAUAAGUCAGCGGUGAAAGUUUGCAGCUUAACUGUAAAAAUGCCGUUGAAACUGUCGGACUUGAGUGUAAAUGAGGUAGGCGGAAUGCGUGGUGUAGCGGUGAAAUGCAUAGAUAUCACGCAGAACUCCGAUUGCGAAGGCAGCUUACUAAGCUACAACUGACACUGAAGCACGAAAGCGUGGGGAUCAAACAGGAUUAGAUACCCUGGUAGUCC